CUGUAUCCAGGCUAGCUUAAAAAUGCAGACAUGUUGCCAGCUGACUAGUAAGACGUUCUUCUUUCAACCUUGUUUUAAGAGGCCCCUGGUUUCUUGGAAGUGGGGGAGUGCAGCACUGAGGAGCAACGGGAAGAUGUUCUACACAUGGAGCAUGGGCAGAUGCAGCUGCUCUAGGAUCCUCUGGGCAUCUGUUUUCAUUAAAACUUCACUUGUGCAUUUGACCUAUCAGCUGGAUUCAGCAUAUGUCACUGGUAAAGGGCCAUGCCAUCCCAGUGAAGUGCAAGUGGAGAGAGAGAAGUGAGCUGUAGAAGAGACAAGAGCCUCAUGAUCUGCACUUGUCUGAUGCAGGAACAAGUACAGAGGAUGGAUAGAGUCAGAGCUUGAACACUGAAAAUAAUGAACAACAUUUUCAUGAAACACUAGCUGUCACUAGCUUCACAUUCAUCUAUCAGAUCAGUCUUUGCAACUUCUAAGUGGCGGACGAAGGAAAUCCCUAUUGCUUGAAACAGCUCCACCUGUCUAUAUGAACUUGCCACAUGGUUUUCUAAAAUACAAACUGACAAGGCCAUUUGUCUAUGAAAUGCUGCCGAAGUUGGUUUCAGAACUGGAGUGAUGAAGCCCGGUCCUAAUAGCUGUUUUCUCUUCCUUGUUGCCUUGUGUGUCAAGGAGUGUUAGCAGAGCCCUUCCCCAAAGCACAGCUAUGAAAUGAAGUACAAUGGAAUAUUCCUUGAGAAUUCUACUCAGAUGUGAAAAGAAUAAGAGUAUUUUUAAAAACAGAUUUUAAGUUGUUUGGCCUGAAAAGGUCAAAUAUGAAGAAGUGAUACUUUUGCUUUAUGUAAAAACUCAAUCACUUCUUUAAUACAUACAGCAUCAAAGUGGUUUAGUUAAGCUAUGUUAAAUUACAAUUCUGUUCUUCUUUUCUUGAUUAUAUUCAGAGUUACAAA